CGUUGCUACGUGACAUGAAGUUUGACUACUCUCGUCAUGUUCGUCCAGACGUUGCUACGUGACAUGAAGUUUGACUGCUCUCGUCAUGUUCGUCCAGACGUUGCUACGUGACAUGAAGUUUGACUACUCUCGUCAUGUUCGUCCAGACGUUGCUACGUGACAUGAAGUUUGACUACUCUCAUCAUUUUCGUCCAGACGUUGCUACGUGACAUGAAGUUUGACGACUCUCAUCAUGUUCGUCCAGACGUUGCUACGUGACAUGAAGUUUGACGACUCUCGUCAUGUUCGUCCAGACGUUGCUACGUGACAUGAAGUUUGACUACUCUCGUCAUGUUCGUCCAGACAUUGGCAACCCUAAGGCAUUCGAAAUUGAACUCCUCCCAAUUAAUUUUAAUAAAUUAAAUUUAUUUUAAUUAAUUUAUUUAUGUAUUAUAUCAUAAAUUUUUGUUCAAUUUAAGUAAAAUAAAUUAUUAAAACUCAGUGUAUAUAAUUAUAAACAAGUGUUAUUGUGUGUUACUUUAAAUAACUUUAGUUUUUGUGCGUCUCCCGUGAUCUGUCAGCUGUUAUAAAAAUGAUGACCCGUAGAAUCAAAGCCCGUCAAACUGAGGAACAGCUCCAACUAACCCUCUUGGAGCUAAGAAAGUACAAGGGACAAUACGAACAGCUGCUUAAAGAAAGGGACGACAGUGAAAUUGAGAGCACUGGCUCAGAAAAUAUGAGCGCAUCUUUAACUUCAGUGGUCAUCAGGUGGCAAGUGCGUUUUGCAGAGAAAAGGCUACACGUGGCGGUUCUCUUAUACUUGUAAGUAAAUUAUUUAAAUUCAAAGAACGUGAAGAUAUUGUAGGCCUCUCUGUUGAACGUACCAUUGAAAUAGCCUGUGCAGAGCUUGAUCACGCCAUUGUUGUCAGUAUAUACAGAUCCCCACAUACAGUAUAUGAAUUAUUUGAAAGUGUAUUGGAGGAGGUUUUACUAAAAUUAUAUAAGUCGAAGAAGUAUAUCAUGA